rnacentral:rRNA from 1 species
AAUAUUGGACAAUGGGGGCAACCCUGAUCCAGCCAUGCCGCGUGUGUGAAGAAGGUCUUCGGAUUGUAAAGCACUUUAAGUUGGGAGGAAGGGCUUUAGGCUAAUACCUUGAAGUUUUGACGUUACUAACGGAAUAAGCACCGCGUACUUUUGUGCCAGAAGCCGCGGUAAUACAGAGGGUGCAAGCGUUAAUUGGAAUUACUGGGCGAAAAGCGCGCGUAGGUGGUUCAGUAAGAUGGGUGUGAAAUCCCCGGGCUUAACCUGGGAACUGCUUUCAUAACUGCUGAGCUAGAGUACGGUAGAGGGUAGUGGAAUUUCCUGUGUAGCGGUGAAAUGCGUAGAUAUAGGAAGGAACACCAGUGGCGAAGGCGACUACCUGGACUGAUACUGACACUGAGGUGCGAAAGCGUGGGGAGCAAAC